GGCGAACCCCACUGAAGAAGUUGUGUAUUUUAUGGAUCCGCUAAAGAGGCGACUCAUCACCGGUGAAUGGAGAACUAUUGUGGACAACUCCAUCAAAAUAUUCAAUGCCCAAAAACAUAGGAAAGGCCGAAAGACAGUUCAAUGGAAAAACUGUGCAGGCAUUCCGGAGCAGAUGGGUGAUAAGACUUGUGGAUAUUGGAUUAUGCAUUACAUGAGGGAUAUAUAUAGUAGAGGACAAAAACCAAGAGUGGAGUGCUAAGUGGGAAAGAAAAGCAAAUCACUAUUACACAAUGGAGAAUGUUGAUGUUGUCCGGGCAGAGUGGGCAAAGUAUGUUAUGAAGUUCAAAGAUAACUAGUGCAUGUGUAGGUUUAUUAACUAGUGCAUCAACUUUUGGACAUGGAUAGUUGAUAUAUAUAUAUAUAUAUAUAUAUAUAUAUAUAUAUAUAUAUAUAUAGGCCAGAUUUUGAUUGCAGUACUGCUAGCUAUUUUGCUAUGUUGUUUAGUUGGUUGCCCACAUUGUGUUGUGCUUCUGGCUUAUUAGCAAGCAGUACUGCAUGCAUAUAUUUUGGUGGCUGCCCAGUUUAGUAUAUAUGGGCCGUUUAGAACUGAUGUUGAUGAUUAGGUUCUGAUGUUGAUGAUUAGAACUGUGAUGUUGAUGAUUAGGUUCUGAUGUUGAUGAUUAGAACUAUGUACAUGAGACAAUGGUGGAUUAAUGGAAAUUGCAAUGAAUGAUUUUGG